UGAAAUAGACAAUUCUCUUAGCUUAGGGAACUUGAUGAUGGCAUCUCUGUUAGAGACACAGGGACAGGAAAGACAUAUUCCAGUUUACCACAGCGUUCUAUGAAGAUAUCUUUUAAUUUUGGGAAGCCAGGAGACUCUGGAAUUAUGUCCCUUUCACCAUCCUCUUCUCUGAUAAUAUGCUUCAAUUGACCGCAUUUACUUAUGUAAAGUCUUUCUAGCUUUGGCAGACAACGAGCGAGGGACGGUGU